AACGGAGGGGGCUAGUGUUACUCAACUUGACUGGGCGUAAAGGGCGUGAAGGUGGUAUGGUACGUUUUAUUGUAAAUACUCAAACAUAAUUUGAGGAGCUUUAAAAUACGGCUAUGCUUGAGUUUAUUUGAAGAAAGUUGUACUUCUAGUGUAGAGGUGAAAUUUGCAAAAAUUAGAAGGACAGUCCACGGGCGAAAGCGACUUUCUACUAUAAAACUGACACUAUAGCGCGAAAGCAUAGGUAGCAAACGGG
rnacentral:rRNA from 1 species